rnacentral:rRNA from 1 species
UGGGGGAAUAUUGGGCAAUGGGCGCAAGCCUGACCCAGCAACGCCGCGUGAAGGAAGAAGGCUUUCGGGUUGUAAACCUUCUUUUCUCAGGGACGAAGAAAGUGACGGUACCUGAGGAAUAAGCCACGGCUAACUACGUGCC